GGGCGGGCGCUGCGCUGGGGCCUCCAUCAGGAUGGGCCUGUGCUGACAGUUCGGGCUGGCGCGGCAGCAGCUCGCGGGGCAGGCAGCUGGGGUCGUGAGGCCGCCGUCAGGUACGAGUGGACCCGGGACUGGGGGUGGGGAGUGGUGGACAGGCUCCCAACCGUCAGCACCCCAGUUUCCUCUGCCCCUCAGCCUUUCCCCAUCCCUGUCCCCCACACAGCAUCCUUCCCCGUCCUGCUUUCGGCUCUUCACGUUUGAAACGCGGUACACUCAUCUUGCCCGAGUUUGCUGAGCCUCUCCCCAAAUUGGACCACUGUGAUUUCAUUGCUCCCUCACAAUUCCCCCUCCAUCGUAUCAUUCAAUCCUACAGGUACCUAGCUCUGACUUUCACUCUGCUUCUCAGCUGCUCCCCAGCUCACCUCACUAGCUUUGUGUCCUUCCAAAGCGUGCCAGCCUCCCACAGCACCCCACACCUUAAUGACCCCUUGUGUCACUCAGCCACCACACUGGACCCCCUAUUUCCCCAGCCCACAUCUGCUCAGCACUCCCCAAUGUCCUAGCCUCUUGGAAACUCCCAGAGGCUUCCCGACACGCAACCUCAAAUUAGCCCCUAGCCACCCCCAGCGGUUCUCUGGCCAUCCCUCUUCAUCCUGCCCCUCACUGUACCCUGAAGGCCACCUCUGACCCCUCCUCCCAAGUGACUUAGGAAGCCAGCAUCUGGGACUUGGCCUCUCCCCUGUCCAAGCUCUUGGGCAGGGCAGGGCCCCUGACCUCAGCUCUCUGCUGUUCAUGACCCAGAGGCUACACUGAGCCUGUGCGCCCCCUCCUGCCCCAGGAAGAGGCCCCCAGCUGCCCAGCUGCCAUGCACAAGCAUUACAAAGUCCACUUUGCCAAGGAUGCCCAGAGCCCCAACGGGCACUACUUCUGGGACCCAGAGUUGGGGCACCAAAAAGGAUGCUGUCAUCAGUGGCGCCAGGACUCAGCAGCCCUCCGAGCCCACAGGCCCUGUCGACCUUCCCCCCAGUCAUACUGGCAGCUGGCCUACCACAGCCACCGAGUGGGUGGCAGUGGCUGGCGCCGGGGCGCCUCGCCCUCCGUCCUGCAGCGGCAGCGGCAGCCCCAGCCCCAGCCCCCACCUCCCAGCCCCCUUCGGCAGCGGCUCUGCCCCAUUCACGAAGCCCAGAAAGGGGUGCCUGCAACCUCCACUGUCCCCAGGGAACCAGCCGGUGCCCUUCAGGCGCCCCCCUUACCCACCACGGCACUGGCCAUGGCCAGCAGUGGCCCAGCCCUAUCCUCUGCGGCCAGCAUCUUCCUGGAGCCCAGCGAACCCACUGAUGCCCGGCCUCUGCCCGCCCCAGGAGCCUGUGGCUCCUUCACCACCUACAGCCCCGAUAUCCUGACAGAGGAUGACGUCUACUGCAGCUGCCUGGCCAAGACACUCUGCCAUGUGCCGGUCCCUGUGACUGUGGGUUUCUACGCCCCUUUCGGCUGCCGCCUGCACAUGAUGCUGGACAAGAUCACGGCGCUGAUGCAGCAGGAGGCGGCGCAGCGCGAGAGGGAGGAGCUGCAGCACGUGCAGUGGCGGCCGCGCGCCGUGAGCGGCUGGGGCGUCCCGCAGCUGCUGUGGUACCUGGUGUUCCUGCAGCCCAUCAUCACCGAGGUGCACCUGCGGCGCAGGAACGUGCAGUUUCUUUUCAUCCGCUUUAGCGCCUGGCAGUACGAGGGCACCGACAAGCUGUGGGCCGGCCUGGUGACCACGUUGUGCGAGGGCAUCCGCCACCACUACGGCGCGCUGCCCUUUAGCGUGUACUCGGUGCUGGGCAACAAGCCGGCCACCAGGCAGGACUGCUGCCAGAGCGAGUGGCACUGCCGGCGCCGCGUGUGCCUGGGGCUGCUGGCGCUGCUGGCGGCGCUGGGCCUGGGCGUGGGGCUGCUCUACCUGUCGCUGGGCGGCCACGCACUGGGCCACAGCAGCCCGAACGGCAGCCUGCUCAAGGCGUUCGGCGGCGCGGCCACCACACUGUCGGGCUCGGGGCUGCUCAUGGCCGUGUACUCGGUGGGCAAGCACCUGUUCGUAAGCCAGCGCAAGAAGAUCGAGCGGCUGGUGUCGCGCGAAAAGUUCGGCAGCCAGCUGGGCUUCAUGUGCGAGGUGAAGAAGGAGGUGGAGCUGCUCACUGACUUCCUGUGCUUCCUGGAGAUCUACCAGCGGUGCCGGCUGCGCGUGGUACUGGAGGUCACCGGGCUGGACACGUGCUAUCCGGAGCGUGUGGUGGGCCUGCUCAACGCCAUCAACACGCUGCUGUCCGACAGCCACGCGCCCUUCAUCUUCAUCCUGGUCGUGGACCCCAGCAUCCUGGCUGCGUGCCUGGAGAGCGCAGGCAACAUGAAGGGCACGGCCGACAACGGCUACCUCUUCCUCAACCGCACGGUCACGCUGCCCUUCUCUGUGCCCAUCAUGGGCCGCCGCACCAAGCUGCAGUUCCUGCAGGAUGCGGUGCAGAGCCGCGACGACCUGUUGUGCCGCGACAUCACGCGCAAGCUAUUGCUGCCGGGGGACGCCAGGGGCGAGAGCGCGCAGCUGCUGGCGGUGCAGACGCAGGCGGGGGCGGAGCGCGGGCAGGGCCGCAUCGACGCCGAGGCUGCGCAGCGCAUCCAGGAGGCGCUCUUUUGCCUUCACAACGAACACGACUGCCUCUACGAGUACGUGCCCGACAACGUGGUGUCCAUGCGGCGCAUCGUCAACACCGUGCCUAUCACCGUGCGCCUGCUGCAGCAGCAGCAGCAGCAGGGGGACUUCGGGGGCCCCACGCCGCGCCAGGCGGUGGCGUGGGUGGUGCUCGCCAACCAGUGGCCGUGCCGCCUGAGCUGGGCGCUGCAGUGCCUGGAGGACCGGCAGCAGACGGGGGCGCGCCCGAGGGCCAUGCUCGCCUCUGGGACGUGUUCCGCGACAACAGCCGCGAGCUGCACACUAUGACCAAGGCGUUGCAGAACGUACUCGACCUGGACGGCGACCCUGAGCUCUUCGAGCGCUUCCUGGGCGCCCGACUUCCCCUUCACCGUGGCCGAGGCACAGAGCCUGCUGCGCUGCACGGUUCAAACCUGGACCACUCAAUCCGCCGGCGCAUGGGUCUCAUCCGAGCCGUCAGCGCCUCAAGCCGCCCAGCCCGCCCAAGUCCCCUGCCCGCGAUGCCCCCCACGCUGCCCACCGGACCAACAGCGCCUCCGGGGCGCCUCCGUCGGGCCGUGCCUCAGGGCAAGCCAGCGAAGGCCACCACGCUGCGGACUUGGCCCACAGGGGCAAGCUAUGGCCGGUGGCCUGCUCGCUCUUCCAUCCAGGGCAGUCCAGCCCAGGUGGGCCUUGA